rnacentral:rRNA from 1 species
CUGGCUCAGGAUGAACGCUAGCGGCAGGCUUAAUACAUGCAAGGCGAGGGGGCAGCAAUGUCACCGUCGUACGGGUGCGUAACGCGUAUGCAACCUACCUUCAACUGGGGGAUAGCCCGGGGAAACCCGGAUUAAUACCGCAUAACACAGGGGUACAGCAUUGUACUAUUUGUUAAAGAUUUAUUGGUUGAAGAUGGGCAUGCGUUCGAUUAGCUAGUUGGUAUGGGUAACGGCCUACCAAGGCGACGAUCGAUAGGGGAGCUGAGAGGUUGAUCCCCCACACGGGCACUGAGAUACGGGCCCGACUCCUACG